rnacentral:rRNA from 1 species
GACAGAGGGUGCAAACGUUGCUCGGAAUCACUGGGCGUAAAGGGCGCGUAGGCGGGGAUGUAAGUCGGGCGUGAAAUCCCCAGGCUCAACCUGUGAACUGCACUCGAAACUGCGCUUCUUGAGUAUCGGAGAGGAAAGCGGAAUUCCUGGUGUAGAGGUGAAAUUCGUAGAUAUCAGGAGGAACACCAGUGGCGAAGGCGGCUUUCUGGACGGUAACUGACGCUGAGGCGCGAAAGCGUGGGGAGCAAACGGG